GCUGACACAUCCCGGCCAAUCUCCAGCAGACCCUCCCUCCUAGACCCUCCCACCUCCUGGACAGCAUCCAUGUUGAAGCUGCCUCUAACAUGGAUGCUGUCCAGGAGGUGGGAGGGUCUGGGAGGGAGGGUCUGCUGGAGAUUGGCCGGGAUGUGUCAG